CGAACCGCGGCGGGGGAGGAGGAGGAGGAGGAGGAGGGAGCCGGGCUCGGUCGCGCGGCCGGGAGGAUGCACAGAUGUUUAAACAGAUUAAUCGAGCUCGGAUUUGCCAAAUCCUCGGUGGAAACGCCGAAGCGCUCCGCCGGUAUCCCACCGCUCGCCUUAAUUAUCCCUGUCAUUUGGCCCGCUCUAACUGAAGCCUCCGCAGAGAGCAGAAAUGACUUCUUUCGAACGAAACGCGAACUGAAUGCAGCCCGCGUUCCGCGGAGCUCCCCGAGCUGCCAUGUUCAACGGAGUUCAACAAUAGAAAACCGCCACAGCCCGAGAAGCCGACCCAGCCCGGCCGAGAGCCGCGUGGGGAUGCCCGGCGCACCGCCGGCCCGUGCUGCCCGUGGCCCAGAGCUUCCAUCGGACAGCCCGCGUGCGGAGCCUCGACAGCGGUUCUUCCCCUUCCCGGCCAGUGGUUUUCCAUUCAAACGAGGAGAAGAGUGUUUCUAUUCAAAAUGCUUUGUAGUUGCUAAUACCUGUACGAAUGAAUGAAUUUAGAAGGAGCUCAGCGCCUUCCCCGCACGUGGAUUCCAAUGGGAUUUAUCAGCUAUCCGUCUCUUUUUGAAGCCUCUUCCCCGCCACUUUCAGGUAGCUGUCCCUUGGAUGAAACUCCAGAUACAGUGGAAAGCGGCACCACCUAACAGCUUGAGCCAAAGCAUCAACAAAGCACACCCGUUUGGAACUACAAGAGAAACUGGAAUAGAUGCGAAGCGCUUACCAAAGACUGGAUGCAGCCAAAGCACUUGUCCUAAAGAAAGGCCAUUGAGGUUUCUAAUAACUACCGGUCAUCCCCACUGCUGCCUUAGAUGCUGUCCAAAAGAUGACCUACGUUGGACAAAUUAUCCCGUGUUCAGCCUUAGGCGAGCUCUAAAGAGGAGAUACUUGUUUUCUAAUCCACAGGAAUGCUAAGAAGAGAAAAAUUGUUCUGCAAUCACUCUUGAGAACAAUAGUAGAAAGCACCAAGACAGAGGUUUCUGAGAAGCAGCUAUUUAAAGUUACAAAGUGUCAAAGAUGAUUUGUAGAGUGUGGAAUAUUAACAUGCAACAGUCCAUUCUGCAUGUAAGGAAUUUUUUGUUGUUGUUCUGUGUACAAGGCAGUACUCUCUACCUCCUACCCCGCCAUAUAUAGAGUAGACUAGGCACAGCAGCUUCUUGAACAUCCAGUAUCAGAACCCAUGUCCGUCUUCAGAAGAGAGAUCACUUAAAUAGGUUGUGGAGAACAUCUCCUUGAUUCAAAAAGGAAGAGUUCCCAUCUUGUUGGUAUAUAGAGAUGGGGCAAGAAAUUAAUGGGAUGAAAACAGAGAAGAACAUAUCAUAGCUCUGCACUGAAUUAUUUGUAUAACUUACAAAAUUAUUUGGAGGGCUCUCUUAAGCAGUCUCAGUGCUUCUUAAACGAUCUAGGGCUCUCAUUGGGCCUACUGCAUAAGCUACUUAGCUACACCAUUGCAGUAGGUUAUGCUCAUGGUAUUUUGGCAAUUGUGCCUCGUGCUAUAAAAUAAGAUAAAUUAUUCAAAAGUGGAAAAGAAAUGUAUUUAUCCCCAGAAAUAACAUUAAGGUUCAAAAUACAAUUGUGAAAUCUUUCUAGGGCCAAUAUAGAGAAACAUUGGCAGAGAUCUUCAUUACCUUGCUACAAGUGAUUUUUAUCCCACAGAUUUAAGGUUUCACACCUCCACCAAUAGAGAAUGCUUCCCAUAAGAAUUAGCACUUUCUUGCUCUGAAAACUAUGGGAUAUUUUUGUCACCGAUUUAAAUAGAUGGGAUCUAAACACAGUGCAACCUUUGCACGAAGACCCUGACCUUCCUUUUCUCAAAGGUCAACAUGUUAGUAAUUCUGUUUUCUAUCUAGUGUCUCUUUCCUUUGGAGCAUUCAAACCUAAAAUGGUUCGUCCUUGGUACAUUAAAAGAAUCAUCAUGGAUGUAUAACAUAACACCCUUAACAACUUGUGUCACUUCUGACCACACUGCCUGAUGGUAUAAUGGAAACACUGGGUGUUUCCCAGUGUUGUGUGACAACGCAUUUAUUGUAAAUCAAACACUGAUGGUGGCAAAUUCUUCUCAAAUAUCAUGUCUGCUUUGUUUAGAAUCGUUCUCAAAGCUGCUUGUGAUUCUUCUCAACUCCAUGUCAUCUAGAAAUAUAUCUUCCUCUCCAUUUGUCCUUCCUAACUGUUACUGAAAAAAAAAAAAUCAUGUUCACAACAAUAAUGAGCAGAGAUUUCAAGAAUGUUCUUUAUUUGGCAGUUUUGCUUUAGUGGCUUAAUUAUAACUGGAACGUAAGUAACUGUUAGUCCUACCUAAAGGUAUUCAAAUUACGAUCAGGAAGCUAGUGACCUCUCAAAACUAACAACUAGCUAAAACAUGGGAAACUUCCUCAAGAAAAGAAAGAAAUAUGGGAUGAAAGAUAAAAGUAAGGUUUGUGAUCAGGAUUUAUGGGUGAUUUCAUUUCUUAAAAUCUGGAAUGGUGCCAUAUGCAAAUUUUACAGUCAGAAACACCAAUUUUCAAACACAACUUGGAAAGCUUAGCCAUGUUUUUCAUGUUGAAAUUUCAAUCGUUCUCUUUUGUAUGUACAUUAAAAUACCAACAAGCAACUACAAAAAGUUAGAAUGAAAAUGAUGAGAUUUAUCAGGCUAAUUGUAGAGUCUACUGAGGCCUAGUAUUGGUAAACAACAGAAAAUAUUAGAUCUGAAGGGGAAAAAGCAAAGAAUGAAAAGUGACAAAUGCAUAGGAAAGUUGCUAUUAAUUAGGAUAAGCUGUCAUUAGACACAGAAGAGGGGUAAGUUAGAUGAAACUGAGAACCUUUAAGUAGGUUUUGAUUUUCCAGACUGCAGAAUCUUCUAGAAAGUAAAUAGGGUAUCUGUAGGUAUGUUUUUAUUCAAAUCAUGCAAGCUAGCUCAGUUUCCAGCCGUAAUCCAUACAGAUGAUUUCAGUGGGUGGUGGCAGUAGUGAUUUUUCAACUCCAAUUGCAGAAAUGAAAGAACUUGCCAUUUAUCGUUUUAAAUAGGUGAUUAGUCUUGAAUGAUUACUGGGUGGCACUGAAUGAAUUCAUGGACAAAUCUGAAGUGUAGCAGCAAACAAAAUGCUUAAAUACAUUGAAACAACAAGAGACAUUUAUCCCAAGUAAAAUGUAAAUGCAAUUAUGCUUCUCAGGCUUGAGGAGAACUUGCGACAGUUUUCAUGACCCUGUAGGUAAGAUUCAUUAGGCUGUGGUCAUCAUGGACAUCUGGCCAUAGCACUAAUUAGCGCACUAAGUAAGGUCUAAGACAGAAGUAGUCUCUGUUCCUCCAAAAUGGAAAAGGUCAGUUAGUAACAGUGCCACAAAAGCUGAAGGGAAAGUCUUGAACAUAACAAGAACAGCUGCACUGAUUCUAUUUUGAAACAUAAAUCACUGGGUCUUCCCUAUACUGGGAAAUGUACAGCUAAAAAGAGGCUUAUCAUCAGCAAUUCAUUAUAACUACUACAAAUAUAUUUUUUUUAAUGUCAUCCUAAAAUCAUCAGUUAAACAAAACAAAUGACCCAAUAACAUCUACAAGAGUAUCCAGAAUGAAAAAUGAAUUUUUAAUCCAAUCACUUCAGACUUUCACGCAAAAAAACAUUCAAGCUGUUGGCAAUUAUAUCUUCAAUAAUUGCCAUUGCUUACACAACAAAAAAGAAAAAGAUAUUACCAUUCUAAUCCUUGAAUGUUUCUCUACAAAAUACUCAGGAAUAUGUAGAAUGAUAGAAUCAAAGACUAUCCCAAGUUGGAAGGGACCCAUAGGGAUCACUGAGUCCAACUCCUGGCUCCACACAGCACCACCAAAAAAUACCUGUAACCAACUACCAUACAUAAACUGAGAUCUAUGGCAAGUACAAAGGAGGACUUUUUUACAGAGCACUGGAUUUUUCAGAGAGUAAAUUUAUGCAAGCUGUUGAGGAAUACUUUACAGUGACUAGAAAGAUUGCAGGAUGCUGGUAUUUUGACACCACCGUGGAUCUAAUUAUUAAACAGUGAAAACUACACAAAGUCAAAAUAAGAAGACAAGAAAGAAAUUACACUUAGUCAGUAAAAACGAUUCCAGGUAUAAAACCUAUAAACCGAUUGUGAAGAGAAUCAAAGAAUCACAGAAUCAUUAAGGUGGUGAUCCAAACCAUCACCACCACACCUGCUAAAACUUGUCCCUAAGUUCCACAUCCACACGGUUCUUGAAUACCUCCAGGGACGGUGACUCCACCACCUCCCUGGGCAGCCUGUGCCAAUGCAGCACCACUCUUUCUGAGAAGAAAUUCUUCCUAACAUCCAACCUGAACCUCCACAAAAGAGGGGUGCAGGUGCAGGCUAUAACACCAAAUUCCUUCUUUUUGUCAUUUGAAGCUGAUUUUUGGAACUUCUGUAUCUGCUUUAUUAAACACAGAAAGUUACUGACAAACUCACAGAAGAUGAGACUUUGGAAUUCUGACAGAUUUAAGAGGAUGUAUAAUAAUAAUUUUAAAAAUGAUCUGAAAAUUCAUGGUCGUAUGUGUCAAGCUGCAAGGAAAAUGAUUAAAUUAAUACAUUAGUAUAGGCAACUACUGUGCAACUAUUGGCCUUACGUACAUUGUCAAGCAUUUCAUUUUGUACAGUGGGUCAAGAAAGAUCAACGGUCUACAUUUGUUUAGUAAGUGAAUCUGGUUAUAAUGCAAUCUUUGUGGUGUUCUGGAUUUUUUUCAAGGCUUUUUCUUUCCAACACAGAUAAAAUGACAACUCACCCUGCCAUCAGCUUCUGUUUCAACUUGAGCACCUUUAACUCAUGUAAUCUUAAAUCUGCUCUAAACCAGUUCUCCCACUGCAUCCUGUUAGAAUGACUGCUAAUUGAUUUUAGCUUAUUCAUGACCCUGUGGUCAAUUCAAAUGUGCACUAAGUUAAAGGUAUCUUCCAUACAUAGCAAUGUUAGAUUUUUAUCCCAGUUUCCAGAAUUGUGAUGGUUACAGAUUAUGCUCAGUCCAGGGUUAUCUCAGUACUACCUAAGCCCUGCAAUGAAGUACGCUAAAGCUUUUGUUUUCAAACCAUUCUUGAAAACAAAACUGAUUCCAAUAGAAUGCUCAGAAUAUCUCUCUUAAUUCCCAUAAAAAUCAUCAUCGGAACGCCACAAACAAACAGUACAUAGGCCAUAAAUGAAUUGGUUAAAUCAUCGACUUCAUAACUCCACAUUCUACUCUGGUUCCAUCUUAACUAACUGUUCUCCUAGGACAUCCAGAAACUCAUUAGUGGGACUUUAUUAAAAUGCUACAGAAGUUCUGUAAGUGUAAAACAAACUGUUUCAAAGUGCAUCUUGUUGGAAAGAUAUUAAAAGCAUCCUGGAAAGAUUCCCAAAUACUAUAUAAAUUAAAUCCUCCCCAACGUCAUUGAUUUGCUCUUGCACAGAAUAGCUAUUCAAAUGGAUUUAAUUUUAACUUGCCUGUGUGGCUAUCACUGUUCGUAAACCUCAUGAGUGUGGCAGAAUAUUCCAGAUACUUAGGUCAGUGUGUAAUGUGUAGUCUCCUGAAUGGAUGUCCUUCAAGGUCUCCUUAGCUCCAGUGGAAGUCCAGUGGAACAGAAGCAGAAAAAAUAGGUGGAGUGCCAAGCAGCUAAACUGAGAGCAUUAUUUGAUGCGGGAGAAAACACCGUUAGGUAGGUUUUGAAUCAACACAGUGCAAGAGAAGUUUGUUAUACUCAGAGUUCCUCCAGAAAAAAAAACUGUCAUUUCAGAAUCUGAGAAAAUGUUCUAUUGUUAUUUAAACUAACUCUCCAGCAUGCAAUCAGAAGAGUUUAUUUAUGUCUCCCCUUUCAUUUCCUCCCAUCUUUGCUAGAACAUGUAGAUGAGCAAAGUGAAACAAAUAAACAACUCUUCUCUUAAGUCUUUACUUGCUCAGUAAUUCCACAUGUUCUGAAGGAAAUAUUUAUAUUUCCCCAGUAUAAAUAGUUAAGAGUUCUGUUAUUUUAUAAUGCUAUCAGAUGUCUGCUCUAGUUUACGAGUUGCUUCUCAAGAACUGCAUGAGACCAAGAAUGGCCAAGUUAAGUUCCUAACACAAAACCAGCCAACCAAAAAAAAAUCCUUGGGAAAAAUAAAAAGUCUUUUUAUUUUAUUUUAUUUUUUUAUUUUAAUAAGAAAAAAUAGGACUCAAAAGAGAAUGGAAAGUUCAUGUCAAUCAUAUACAUAGCAAGUAUAUGUAAUUGCAUCAUAGCCUUGCCUUUACUUCUCCUUCCCACUCUGUGCUCCUCCUCUUUCUGCAGUUUUCUUAAAUCAGAAUAAAUAGUAGUUGCACCUUAUAUAUUUGUAAAGAAUUCAGACCUCAAUCCCGACUCAGAUUUUUG
ensembl:lncRNA